UGAUGGUUGUGUCUGAUGUGGCUGACAUGU
rnacentral:piRNA from 2 species